UUUUUUUGACAGCUUUUCUUCUAGAAGAGUGAGACAAAAUGUUCCUUUCCCAAAAAUUUUCCCUUCAUGCCUUCAAUUAUAGUGUGGUAACAACACAGUACAAUCACACCCUGAAAGUGGUCUUAGGUUGCUCUUGAAUUUAUGGUAUAUCUUUGCAUAAGCAUGGGAUGAGAUAAGGGCAUUCGUUUACAUAUAAAGGCAGGCGAAGAAUAUUUAAAAAACCCUAAACUCUCUCUGAAGUUUUGCGGCCGCCGCACACCCCUCCUUUCUUUUUGGGGGUGGGCGGCUUCCCCAUCUUCCAUCUUUCUCUCCUCAUCUCUUUUUCUCCUUUCCUAUUUUUCUUCCCCUUUCCUAUUCUCUCCCCAGAUUUGUCUGGAUUUUGGGUCCUUUUACCCAGAUCUAUCUGGAUCUUGUCUUUUGUUUGUUUGUUUGUUCUUGGAUGUGUCUUGCUGUCAUUGGGAUGGUUGCGGUAUGGUGUUGUCGACCCAGCUUUUCUCUUUGGUUUUUGUUGUGUUUUUUACGCAAGUACUGCAAUCCACCGUAGACGCAAUGAUUUUAUUGCAGCUUUUGGUCCACGCAUAUGGAAUUUGCUCCAAUUUAGUGUUUGGAGUUGGAAAAGUGAUUGUUGCUGGUUUAGGUGGGAUCGGGUUUAGCCUGUGCAAAAUAAGAGGUUUAGCCAUGUUGGUGCUACGAGUCUCUUUGGUUUGCUGGAGAGGAAGUGGUGCGGUGUCCUUGUUUCUGUGUUUAUUUUAGUCUAAUAACUCUCAGAAACUCAAUAGGAGUUUGCUAAUGUAUGUAUUUUGUGUUUGACUUUUCGAUGCGGAUUUGUCGUUACAGCAGUUGCACGGUGGAUCUGUAUUGUAGGUCUAAGUACAGAUGGUUCUUGUCUGCCAAAUUGGAGUUUUUAGGUUUUUUCUGGCAUAGGUAAUUCUCUCCAGAUCAAACCAAUUUAUUUUUGUGUUUGGUCACUGGAGAUGUUGUACUCAUAUUUGGCAUUGUGACUACUCUGUACUUUUUUAUGUGUUAUCAAUAAAAUUACUAUCACUUUUAAUCCAAA
rnacentral:lncRNA from 1 species